AAAAAAUACAAAAAAAUAAUUUCACAAGUACGGGCUCAUUUUAGAAAAUUGGCAGCACUUGAGUUCAAGUGCGGGCUUAUUUCACAAAUGACCCGCACAAAAUAUUUCUAAAAAUAUUUCCCAAUUUUAUUUCAUUUCGCGCUUCCCCACUUCCUCUUCUCUGGUUACUGCUUUUCCCUUUUCUCUCAUCCUUCCCUCUUCUCUUGUUUCUCUGCUCCUCCCCCUCUCUGGUUCUCUGGACGCGAAACUCAACAACAUAACUCAGCAUACACCGGCACGACCAGUCGCGUCGCCAACGAUGUUCCCCAACCGGCGACUUCUUCCUCUUCUGGCCGCGGCCGCAGCACACAGGCGUCGCUCAUCCUUAUCUCUUUUAGGUUUUUCGAUUGCGUGCUCGAUUUUGCUUCUACCUACUUCCGGAUUGAUUUAAUUCAGGUAUUCAACAAUCCAAGGGAGCAGCCUUUUACCAUUGAGUAGAUAAAUGAAGUUCGAGAAAAGUUGGCAAAUUUCAUUACCAUUUAUUGUCUUUGAUAUUUUGUUGUAAUGAAUCUUAGAUUAUGGAUGCUAGUUUUUCAUAGGAUUGUAAUGUAAUCAAUUUUUAUAUUUACAAUUAUAUACUAUUCAAUUUAAUUAUCUAUAUAAUUGGA